CCGCUUUAGACAAAUUUCACACUUGUGAGGUUUUUAUCCAGUAUGCGUUCUCAAAUGUCUUUUCAAAUUACUUGCUUCAGAACACUGCUUGAAACAAAUUUCACACUUGUACGGUUUUUAUCCAGUAUGCGUUCUCAAAUGUCUUUUCAAAUUACUUGCUUCAGAACACUGCUUGAAACAAAUUUCACACUUGUGAGGUUUUUCUCCAGUGUGCGUUCUCAAAUGUCUUUUCAAAUCACCUGUAGUAAUAAACUGCUUGAAACAAGUUUCACAC